rnacentral:rRNA from 1 species
UACGAAGGUGGCAAGCGUUACUCGGAAUUACUAGGCGUAAAGGGCAGGUAGGUGGUCUGAUAAGUCUGUUGUGUAAGCUCCCGGCUUAACUGGGAGAGGUCAACAGAUACUGUCAGGCUAGAGUAUAGGAGAGGUUACUGGAAUUCCCGGUGUAGCGGUGAAAUGCGCAGAAUAUCGGGAGGAACACCAAUGGCGAAAGCAGGUAAACUAGGACUAAUUACUGGACCACU